AUCAGGUGGUGAUGGCUGCAUCAGGUGGUGAUGGCUGCAUCAGGUGGUGGUGGCUGCAUCAGGUGGUCUGCAUCAGGUGGUGGUGGCUGCAUCAGGUGGUGGCUGCAUCAGGUGGUGGUGGCUGCAUCAGGUGGUGAUGGCUGCAUCAGGU